GACGAACGCUGGCGGCGUGCCUAAUACAUGCAAGUAGAACGCACAGUUUAUACCGUAGCUUGCUACACCAUAGACUGUGAGUUGCGAACGGGUGAGUAACGCGUAGGUAACCUGCCUGGUAGCGGGGGAUAACUAUUGGAAACGAUAGCUAAUACCGCAUAAUAUUGAUUAUUGCAUGAUAAUUGAUUGAAAGAUGCUAUUGCAUCACUACCAGAUGGACCUGCGUUGUAUUAGCUAGUAGGUGAGGUAACGGCUCACCUAGGCGACGAUACAUAGCCGACCUGAGAGGGUGAUCGGCCACACUGGGACUGAGACACGGCCCAGACGCCUACGGGAGGCAGCAGUAGGGAAUCUUCGGCAAUGGACGAAAGUCUGACCGAGCAACGCCGCGUGAGUGAAGAAGGGUUUCGGAUCGUAAAGCUCGGUUGUAAGAGAAGAACGGGUGUGAGAGUGGAAAGUUCACACUGUGACGGUAUCUUACCAGAAAGGGACGGCUAACUACGUG
rnacentral:rRNA from 1 species